GUUUCUUUCUUCUUUUACUCCCAUAUCAUCGCUUCCCUCCCUCUCUUACCUUCUCCUUCAGUUUCAAACAAAAAAACCUUCAGCCAUCAUGCCGCCAUGCCUCCGACGGCAUUCGCUGCGGCUAUAAACACAAAAACCAACGCAGAGAUGAUGAAUCUCCACAGCAGCGAUGAAGAAGACGACGGCGGCGCCGCCACACCUAGGAAAUGGAUGGAAGGAGGCGAAUCUGAAAGGGGUCGAGUGGAAAUCAUAACGGAGAAUCUCCAAAAAAUCAAGGAUUCCGCGAUGUGAAGAGCGAAUCGAGCAACAACAACCUUCAAUCGGCGGAAGUGACGGAGAUGAGCGGCGGUGGAAAGCUUUUCAGCAUCGAAGAAUUUGUAGAAAAUAGAGAGUGAUGAAGGUUCUGCGGUUUUAAGAUUCAAAGAAUGGUGAUGAAGAUCUUGCAGAGGAUAGGGAGAGUUUUCUUGGUGAGUUUCUCCCGAUUGUUGAAGAAUUAGAGUGAUUUGCAAUUAUAUGUUCUAGGUUCGAUUGACAAAGAAAUUGGCUCUAAAUCAACUCGUCGGAGUUGCACGUCGACACCGCGAUUUAUAAAAUAGGUCAUUUAAUAUAUGCUUUGCCAAACAUUCAAAAGAGGUGACAGGUGAAUCAGGUUAUUUUUUCUCGUUCGAGUUUCUACGAUGGCGUGUCUCUAGUACUCAAUGUUCAUGGUAUUCUAAGUAGAAAAACUCCACCAAGGCUCUGGUUGAACUUCCAGGGACAACCUGCUGAGGUUGAGGAAAAUGAUAAAGCUCAGCCACAUCUUUUUAGUGCUGUAAUAGAGAAGACUGAACGCCUUUACAUGAUAUGUGAGAUGGACUACAAUAAUGAAGCAAGCAAUGGUAUCAAGUUCAGGUAAGUGCAUGCUAUCAAUGUUUUGAAUUUGAGUUUUGAACAAUAUGAAGUAUGCUGAUUCUCAUGAAUGGGUGAAAGUUGAUGGAAAUUCUGCAACCGUCGGCAUAACUGAUGACGCCCAAGAUCAUUUGGGCGAUGUUGUGUACGUUGAACUACCAUAAGUUGGAGCAGCAGUGACACAAGGAGAUGCCUUUGGUGCAGUUGAAAGUGUGAAGGCAACUAGUGACGCCAACUCUCCGGUUUUUGGAAAAGUUAUCGAAGUUAAUGAAGAGCUCAGCAGCUCUCCUGGUUUAGUUGCCAUUUUGCUUCUCACUGAAAUCACUCCAAAAAGCAUUGCGGUUCACAAUGCCAUAGAGGUGGCUCGGUUUGUGGCUGCUGAGAGGCUUAUUUCAAGCAAAGGGGAACUCAAAACACAGCUUGAGAAUUUUCGCAGGGAUCCUAACAUAUCAAGGGAGAAUGGAAUCUUCUCAACUUGUAACUCACAAUCUCUCAGAUGUCGACUUGGUGAAAGAUCAUUUGCGACACAUGUUUACACGUUAUUAGAAGAAGAAGAAGAAGUUAAAGGCGAUGAAUGGUUGCAAGCAUUAGCAGCUGAAGUUAACAUGGUCAAGCUCCCCGCCCUACUGGAAUGUGAAAUUGUAGGCUAGCUAGCAUAGAGAUUUGUUAUAUUUUAAGUUGUAUUGAAAUAUAUAUUUACAGUUUAGCUAAUCAUGAACCAACCACUCAUAGGAUGUCAUAAAAAGAUGUUUGAAUUCUGUCAUGAACCUACUUGUGUUUGUUCAACAUUACAAAAACUCAUUCAAAACAAUUGUC